GAUGAACGCUGGCGGCGUGCCUAAUACAUGCAAGUCGAGCGAACGGACGAGAAGCUUGCUUCUCUGAUGUUAGCGGCGGACGGGUGAGUAACACGUGGAUAACCUACCUAUAAGACUGGGAUAACUUCGGGAAACCGGAGCUAAUACCGGAUAAUAUUUUGAACCGCAUGGUUCAAAAGUGAAAGACGGUCUUGCUGUCACUUAUAGAUGGAUCCGCGCUGCAUUAGCUAGUUGGUAAGGUAACGGCUUACCAAGGCAACGAUGCAUAGCCGACCUGAGAGGGUGAUCGGCCACACUGGAACUGAGACACGGUCCAGACUCCUACGGGAGGCAGCAGUAGGGAAUCUUCCGCAAUGGGCGAAAGCCUGACGGAGCAACGCCGCGUGAGUGAUGAAGGUCUUCGGAUCGUAAAACUCUGUUAUUAGGGAAGAACAUAUGUGUAAGUAACUGUGCACAUCUUGACGGUACCUAAUCAGAAAGCCACGGCUAACUACGUGCCAGCAGCCGCGGUAAUACGUAGGUGGCAAGCGUUAUCCGGAAUUAUUGGGCGUAAAGCGCGCGUAGGCGGUUUUUUAAGUCUGAUGUGAAAGCCCACGGCUCAACCGUGGAGGGUCAUUGGAAACUGGAAAACUUGAGUGCAGAAGAGGAAAGUGGAAUUCCAUGUGUAGCGGUGAAAUGCGCAGAGAUAUGGAGGAACACCAGUGGCGAAGGCGACUUUCUGGUCUGUAACUGACGCUGAUGUGCGAAAGCGUGGGGAUCAAACAGGAUUAGAUACCCUGGUAGUCCACGCCGUAAACGAUGAGUGCUAAGUGUUAGGGGGUUUCCGCCCCUUAGUGCUGCAGCUAACGCAUUAAGCACUCCGCCUGGGGAGUACGACCGCAAGGUUGAAACUCAAAGGAAUUGACGGGGACCCGCACAAGCGGUGGAGCAUGUGGUUUAAUUCGAAGCAACGCGAAGAACCUUACCAAAUCUUGACAUCCUUUGACAACUCUAGAGAUAGAGCUUUCCCCUUCGGGGGACAAAGUGACAGGUGGUGCAUGGUUGUCGUCAGCUCGUGUCGUGAGAUGUUGGGUUAAGUCCCGCAACGAGCGCAACCCUUAAGCUUAGUUGCCAUCAUUAAGUUGGGCACUCUAAGUUGACUGCCGGUGACAAACCGGAGGAAGGUGGGGAUGACGUCAAAUCAUCAUGCCCCUUAUGAUUUGGGCUACACACGUGCUACAAUGGACAAUACAAAGGGCAGCGAAACCGUGAGGUCAAGCAAAUCCCAUAAGGUUGUUCUCAGUUCGGAUUGUAGUCUGCAACUCGACUACAUGAAGCUGGAAUCGCUAGUAAUCGUAGAUCAGCAUGCUACGGUGAAUACGUUCCCGGGUCU
rnacentral:rRNA from 1 species